rnacentral:rRNA from 1 species
AGAGUUUGAUCAUGGCUCAGGACGAACGCUGGCGGCGUGCUUAACACAUGCAAGUCGAACGGAAAGGCCCUGCUUUUGUGGGGUGCUCGAGUGGCGAACGGGUGAGUAACACGUGAGUAACCUGCCCUUGACUUUGGGAUAACUUCAGGAAACUGGGGCUAAUACCGGAUAGGAGCUCCUGCUGCAUGGUGGGGGUUGGAAAGUUUCGGCGGUUGGGGAUGGACUCGCGGCUUAUCAGCUUGUUGGUGGGGUAGUGGCUUACCAAGGCUUUGACGGGUAGCCGGCCUGAGAGGGUGACCGGCCACAUUGGGACUGAGAUACGGCCCAGACUCCUACGGGAGGCAGCAGUGGGGAAUAUUGCACAAUGGGCGGAAGCCUGAUGCAGCAACGCCGCGUGCGGGAUGACGGCCUUCGGGUUGUAAACCGCUUUCGCCUGUGACGAAGCGUGAGCGACGGUAAUGGGUAAAGAAGCACCGGCUAACUACGUGCCAGCAGCCGCGGUGAUACGUAGGGUGCGAGCGUUGUCCGGAUUUAUUGGGCGUAAAGGGCUCGUAGGUGGUUGAUCGCGUCGGAAGUGUAAUCUUGGGGCUUAACCCUGAGCGUGCUUUCGAUACGGGUUGACUUGAGGAAGGUAGGGGAGAAUGGAAUUCCUGGUGGAGCGGUGGAAUGCGCAGAUAUCAGGAGGAACACCAGUGGCGAAGGCGGUUCUCUGGGCCUUUCCUGACGCUGAGGAGCGAAAGCGUGGGGAGCGAACAGGCUUAGAUACCCUGGUAGUCCACGCUGUAAACGGUGGGUACUAGGUGUGGGGUCCAUUCCACGGGUUCCGUGCCGUAGCUAACGGCUUUAAGUACCCCGCCUGGGGAGUACGGCCCGCAAGGCUAAAAACUCAAAGGAAUUGACGGGGCCCCGCACAAGCGGCGGAGCAUGCGGAUUAAUUCGAUGCAACGCGUAGAACCUUACCUGGGUUUGACAUGGAUCGGGAGUGCUCAGAGAUGGGUGUGCCUCUUUUGGGGUCGGUUCACAGGUGGUGCAUGGCUGUCGUCAGCUCGUGUCGUGAGAUGUUGGGUUAAGUCCCGCAACGAGCGCAACCCUUGUUCACUGUUGCCAGCACGUUAUGGUGGGGACUCAGUGGAGACCGCCGGGGUCAACUCGGAGGAAGGUGGGGAUGACGUCAAGUCAUCAUGCCCCUUAUGUCCAGGGCUUCACGCAUGCUACAAUGGCUGGUACAGAGAGUGGCGAGCCUGUGAGGGUGAGCGAAUCUCGGAAAGCCGGUCUCAGUUCGGAUUGGGGUCUGCAACUCGACCUCAUGAAGUCGGAGUCGCUAGUAAUCGCAGAUCAGCAACGCUGCGGUGAAUACGUUCCCGGGGCUUGUACACACCGCCCGUCAAGUCAUGAAAGUUGGUAACACCCGAAGCCGGUGGCCUAACCGUUGUGGGGGAGCCGUCGAAGGUGGGGCUGGUGAUUAGGACUAAGUCGUAACAAGGUAACCGUA